rnacentral:rRNA from 1 species
CUGAUGGCGACCGGCGCACGGGUGCGUAACGCGUAUGCAACCUACCUGUAACAGGGGGAUAACACUGAGAAAUCGGUACUAAUACCGCAUAACACUAUGAGAGGCAUCUCUUGUGGUUGAAAGUUUCGGCGGUUACAGACGGGCAUGCGUUGUAUUAGCUGGUUGGUAAGGUAACGGCUUACCAAGGCGACGAUACAUAGGGGGACUGAGAGGUUAACCCCCCACAUUGGUACUGAGACACGGACCAAACUCCUACGGGAGGCAGCAG